rnacentral:rRNA from 1 species
AUGGUGCGGCUUAGGUCAACUAAUACGAAUAAGAUACAGUUCACUCAACGAUUGCCCUUGGGUCCCGAACUCCAUAUGGGGAAGGAACGUUGUUGUUUGCGAGGUCUCGAUCAUUUACAUGGACCCACUUCUCAUUCCAUUUGUGGGAAUUUGAUGAUUUAUAAACCGUCCCCAACGAGCGAAAGGUUCAUGUUUGAACAUGAUGAAUCACUUCGUGGCGACCUGUUUCCCAUAAACUUUCCUGCCUCAUAUGAGAAUGGAAAACUGGAAGAUUUUCUGCAUCGGUGGAUGAAGAAUCACGAACAUAAGAAUUUCUGGUUUAGCAUGUUCCCAGAAAGAAGAUACUUUUUUUUCCAUUCGAGAAACGAGGAGCACGACUGA